GACACUUAACCCACUGAGCCACCCAAGUGCCCCUAAAUAAUGAGAUCUUAAUGCACACAAAGGGAGGCCAUGACCGCGAGGAUGGGAAGGACUAGCCUUCAUUAUUCAUGCCCACACAGCCUCUCCAACUCCCUCGUGCAUGCAGGAACACAUCUCCUUCAAUGCAAGUGUUAUCUGUCACUAACGGUUCUUAUUUAAAGAUAAUGGAGUCCCACGACAUUGCUCUGUUUGGCUGGAGGAGGCAGAAAGCGGGCCCUCGUUAUUCUUCAGGAGUGACUGAAUGCUGUGGGCAGCGUGGGUCCCCAGAGACGCUAAGGAAGCUGACAGCCCGGUGGCUUGGUGGCUCGCUCUGCCCCGGUCCCAUCUGGCAUCCUUACAAGUGUGUAUUUCAACAAACCAAAACAAAAUGUUUAACCGUACAUAUUUUUUUGUAUGUAUUGAAAAGCAGUGUAAGUAUUGAAACAAUAAAAACAUGUUUAUCUCAGGGUCAUGUUGACAAGUUUGUAAGUUCUCAGUUUGGGGUUUUUGCUAGAAGCCGGGCUUGGCUUUGAGGUGGGACUAGUUCUGUUUCUUUCCGGUUUUAUUUCCGGUUCUGUUUAUUUUUCAGAUAACUCAAUUAUUCCAAGUGGUAAAAAGUCCAGUCGGCCGUCGCAGGGGAGAACAACUCAGAGUCGCCUCCCAAGUUCGCGCUCAGGCGCAGCCGUGGGCUUUCGUGCAAUAGUCCAUGGUGCAGUGUCUGGGGGAUGCUCGGAGCUGCCACACCCCUGGGUGUGCCUUUGCUUUGGUGACCUCCCAGGUUUCUAACAGUGCUCUUGGCCCCCUGCCAUAAUGACUGCCGUCUCAGUGCUGAAUUCUAAAGACCAUUUCUCUCCUCCAUUCCCAUGGAGCACGUCUGAUCCAUGCCUCAUACAGGCCCCACGGUUUUCCCUGAUGUUUGGGGGUGUUAGAGCGCUGGCUAUGUCACAGAAAAGGCCAGAACAACCUAAAAUCCAAUAUCGGAAAUUUCUGCCCCCAAAUUCAUGGUACUUUCUCCGAAUAAUAUCUCCCAGACCCCAGCCCAGACAGGUUUUUUUCUCUACACCACUCAACGCAACCGUGGCAAGUCUGCAAUGAUUUGCAUGCUGCUAAUUGGUCUACUGGACCCUGUUUUCAGUUCUGUGUUGCUGGAUCUGCCAGCAGCACUGACAUGGUGGACCACCUGCUCCUUCUUGAAACACACUUGCACUUGGCCUCCAGAUCUCAGAACCUGGGCCUCUUCUCUUGUCAUCUGCGCCCACUCCCUUGGUGACGGCAUAAGGGAUGAGCCUCUAGCCAGGACUCUGUCUGACCUCCGUGUGAAAAGAGACGUCUGUGUACUGGACAUCGCCACUGGGCUAGUCUACUUGUUAUCCAGCUUCCCAAGUCCCUAACCAACCUCCUGGUCUUCUCCCUCAUCCUCACCCUGCCUUUGCCUCGGUGUUUCCUGCCGCACCCAUGAGCUCCCUGUCUCCAUCAUUGCAGGAGAACACCUUGGAGUCACCUUUUGUGUUGUCUUUUCUCUUAAACCACUAUAUCCGGCAAAUCCAGCAAAACCACUCUAUCUGUCAGCAGAUCCUGCUGGCAUUUUCUUCGAAACGCGCCCAAUUUCUGUUACAGGAGCCGGUGUCCUCACUGCACCUCAGUCUCCCUAAUCCAUUUUUAACGUUUUCCCCGGAGUAAUCUCCUUACAUUGUAGAUCAGGUGACACCACUCAGAACCUUCCACUAGCCUUCCACCUCACGCUGGCAGGAAGGUAAAGUCACCACCAUGGGCUCCAAGGCUCCAUGACAGGGAACCUAUCACCUCCUUGCCUAUUUGGCUUCAACGCCCAGUGCCCUCUCCUGGCUCAAGGCAGCCGCCCAGCAUCACACCUCCUCGAAGUUCCUUCAUCCCGACUCGCUCCUCCCCAGCUCCCAUGACUGGAAUAUGAGCCCCACGAGGUCAAGGAUUUUGUGCACUUUAUUCACCACUGCAACCCUUUGGCCUGGAAAAGUGCCCAUAGUGGAUGCUCAGUGUUUGUUGAAGGAGCGAAAGCAUUGAGGUAUGGUGUGAGGAGGACUUAGAAGACCCAAGUCUUGACUUUCGGAAUCCACGAUUUCUGAUGUAUGUACUUUGGGGCGAAUCACUAACAUUCCUAUGUGCUCGUCUCCUUCCAUCUGUAAAAUGUUUCUAUUUGUAAAAUACUUCACCCAACUUAUUUGUCAGGAUUAAACAAAGUGAUAAAUGUGAAAAAUACCUUCUAAUUUCUACUACACAGAGGCUAAUUAACUUGCACAACACCAUUUACGAGCACGUGAGAAGGAAAGGAAAUGGACAGACCAGAUGUAUAGUCUCCCUUUUGCCCAAUGGAGUCUUGUGUUUUGUAUCAAGGGCCACUUUGGGACCUUUCUCGAGGUAUUUAUGGCUUGAAUAAUGUUUAUUUUAGAUAGGUGGAGAACGUAUUUCAGGUCAUCCCUCAAACCAGAGGGCUUUUUCCAAACUGAAUUUUGACAGUUGCUCUGGGGCUGUGAAGACUCAGUUUCUGCUCUUCCUAAAUAGGUCAAGUCACGGUGUGAUAGCCACAUGCUGUAGAAAAAGGUUAGUGAGACAAUGGGUGGGAUUUCUCCUUUGAAAUUGGGUUAUGCCUGCUCUCGGAGAUGGUCACAGGCCUGCAGAAUUUGUGACACGCUGGUUCUCUAGUCAUUAUAUUUUUACCAUAAAAGCAUUAGUCACAUUUUUUUCUGGCUUUUUAUUCUCUUAAGAACAGAAACGUGGGUAGUCGAUGAUAAAGUUCAUUCGGUAUUGUGUGGAGCUUUUCAGAGAACUUUAUAAUCAUUCUAAUUAAUUUGGAAUUUCCAAGAAUAAAAAAAAUAGUCCCCAG